rnacentral:lncRNA from 1 species
CAGGGAGUUGUUGACAGAUAUGAUAAAGAAGUUUUGCAAGGACAGCAAUGAGCCUAUUCCAAAGGGUCUGCGGAAGAUGGAUGAUCAAACAUUGAGUGAGACAAUACCUUGAGCCAAAAAGGUACUUGGUUUUAUUUGAUGAUGUUUGGAAAGAAAAAAUUUCUGAUGAGAUUGAACAUGCCUUAAUUGGUAAUAACAAAGGAAGUAGAAUCAUUGUGACCACUAGAAUGAUUCAUGUAGCUGAAUAUUUUAAGAAAUCUUUUCCUGUUCACAUUCACGAGCUACAACGUUUGCCUCCUAACAAAGCUUGGGAACUGUUUUGCAACAAGGUGUUUAGAGGGCAAUGUCCAACAGAACUUGAGGAGAUGUCCAAUGAAAUUGUUCAAAAAUGAGGAGGGCUACCACUGGCAAUUGUGGCUAUCGGAGGUCUUUUGUCAACAAAACCAAAAACCAUGUUUAAGUGGAGAAAGCUGAGUCAAAAUCUCAGAAUGCAGUUAGAGCGCAAUGUGCAUUUGACCGAUCUAAUGAAGAUUUUGUCUCUUAGUUUUGAUGAUUUGCCUUACCAUUUGAAAUCAUGCAUGCUAUAUUUUGGUAUAUAUCCUGAAGACUACACUAUUAAGCGGAAGAGACAUAAGCGGAAGAGACAUAAUAGGCAAUGGAUGGCUGAAGGGUUUGUUAAGGCAAUGGAGAUAAGACAAUUGGAGGAAGUUGUUGAAGAGUCCCUGAUAGAGUUUAUACAAAGAAGUUUGGUUCAUGUUUCCAGAAUUGGCUUUGAUGGGAAAGUCAAAAUUUGUCAAGUCCAUGAUGCGCGAAGUGAUCAUUAGAAAAAUGAAGGAUUUAAGUUUUUGUCAUUUAAUGCAUAAAGUUGAUGAACAAGUCACUGUUGGAGUAACUCGACGCUUUUCUAUAGCAGCUUUCUCCAAUAAUGACUUGAAGAACUCAGGAACUCGUGCUAUAUUUGUUUUUGACAAAGGUGAAUUGCCUGAACAUAUCAUGGAUGGAUUAUCUUCCAAGUUCAAGCUUUUGAAGGUACUUGAUUUUGAGAAUUCAUUGUUGAGUUCUAUUCCCGAUAACUUGUGGAAUCUUUUCCACCUAAGGUACUUGAACCUGAGUCAUACAAAAGUUACAGUCCUUCCGAAAUCCAUUGGUAUGCUUGUAAACUUAGAAACCUUGGAUAUAAGGCAAACUAAAGUGCAUGAGUUACCAAAAGAGAUAAACAAGCUCACAAAACUAAGGCUUCUUCCCGUUUAUUACAGAAAAUAUGAAGGGCGCUAUUGUAUGUUGAACUUUACAGAUGGAGUGAAAAUGCAAGAAGGUAUUGGAUGUUUGAAAUCUUUACAAAAGCUGUACUUUUGGAAGCAGAGCAAAAUGUUGUCCAAAGAGCUCAAAAUGUUGAAACAGUUAAGGAAGUUAGCAUAAGGCGUAUGCGGAGAGAAUUUCUUGACUUUGAUCUUGUAUCAGCUACGCCCCAUCUUAGGGUGCUCAAGUAUCUUGUGAAGCUAAGACUUGGCUUAUCUAAUUUUGAAGAUGAUCCACACUAGACACUUUGAAGAAGUUGCCUAAUUUGUUGCACAGAGGGACAUGAAUAUGUGGAUAACUCAUGGCCAGGGGUGCUCCCUACAGGUCGGGGAGGACCUUGGUCCUUCCCAAAAUGCGGUCCUCCCCAAAAUUUUCAUUUUUUUUUGGUAUAAAUAAUUUGUAAGGUUUUUCUCAAUGUUUUUUAGUGCGGUAUAAAAUUACUCAAAUAUUACAUUAGUGUAAUUUAUAUCUCUUUUUACACGCAUGUACGCAUGCGCACGCGCGUGCGCAUGCAUACACAUGACGACCCUUAAAAAAUUUCAAUCAAUCAUACAACAACACAAUUAUUCUAAUCAGGCAACCAUUGAAUUGAAAGCAUGAUAGAUAUAUAACAGAAUAAUUUGAGCAGAAAAGAAUCCUUUUCCGAGUACAAGUUAUUGGCACUAGUCAUAUCAUAUCUGAGCAUUUUCAACAACGUUUGGUUUUUGUUUACCCAUUGCCACUAUCUCUCUUUACAAAUUCUGAAACAGGUUACCCCACAAAUGAGACAACUCAUUUCAUUGCCACUUUUUGUUUGUACCACAAUUAUUGUCCUAAUCGCACAAUAGUACUAUGCACGUUUUAAACACUCUCUCUGUGCCUUGUCUGCACUCUUCCAAACUUUUUCCUUCCUUCAUACCUAAUUAUUCAUGCUAAUAUUUGCAGGUUGCUGGAACAAGAUGAGAAAGCAACAUAAGAGAUGGUGUUAUAUACUCAAAAGUGAAUUUAAACAUGCAUAAGUUUCCCAUUUUUAAAGGCUACGACCACAUAUUUAGGAAUGUCAAUUUGAUUUGUAAAUGAGAAUUCCCACGAGGAUUGCUCUAUUUGGAAGCUCAAAGGCGGGAGAUUUUUGCCCGCAAAGAUGAGAUUUACGUCGUCAAAUAAUAUUUAUAUUGGUAUGAUCAAGUACUUUAUAUAUUGGUUCAAAAAAAAAAGUACCUUAUAUAUUAUAUUUAUGGUCAUUACAUUCAUGAGUCUUUUAAGUUUUUCUAUUUAUAAUAGAUAGGUCCUGUAAACUUUGUAGGUAGCAAAGUACCUUAUGAAGAUGAAGAAGAAUACUCUCCGAAACGGAGAAUGAGGAGCAUUUAGAUGAUAGAAAAGAAAGUGUUAAAGUACUUCCCGCUCAAUCUACACCCCGUUAACAUCCUUACACGUGCUCCAUCACUUCUUGGUUGCUUCUUCACCGACACAAAUACUCCAUCCGGUCUCAUAUAUAUAUAUAUAUACUAGAUACAUAACUUUUUUAAUGAAUCUAAAAAGUUAAUUUUUGCUUAUAUAUGAAACCAAGGAAGUAAUAAUAAGCAAAUAAUAUUCCAAAGACCAAGACUUUUCAUUGGUCAAAGUCUACCACACAAUAAUACUACCCGCCGUCCUUUUUAUAAUAAACAGAUGAUUUUCUAGGUUCAUUGAAUAACUAAUAUGUUGCACGCAAACGAGCACUUGCAAUAUAGAUCAAAUACACAAUGAACCUAAAAAGUGAGUUGUUUCUUAUAAAAAAGAACCGGGUGAAGUAAUUUCUGGUAGUUGUUUUUGUCAAAUAAUAAUUGUUGUUUUUAUCUCCAGUCCACCACACAAGCCUCUAAUAGAAAGUGAAGUAGUUUCUUGUAAACUAAACACAACUUCACUAUUCAAAGUGUUUGAUACUUAAAAUCUAAUCACCAAAACAGACACUUGAACUUGCUUGAAUUGCCAAAAAUUGCUUGUAUGAGCCAACCUGAUUGAUGACAACAUUGUAAUGAAAUGGCAGAAGCUGUAGUGUCAUUUGUUUUGAAAAAAAUUUGUGAAUCUGUAGUACAAGAAAGCAGUUUACUGACAGAGGUUGAGAGAGACUUCAACGACAUCAAGGAUGACCUUGUGAGCAUCCAAGCCUUCCUCAAGAAUGCAGACACAAAGGCUGCUGCUAAUGAAGGAGUCCAAACUUGGGUGAAGCAACUAAGAGAAGCAUCUUUUCGCAUAGAAGAUGUCAUUGAUGAGUAUAUCAUGCAUGAGGCACAAAAGAUCAACCAGUCUAGAUCCAUAGCCACACUCCAAAUGAUUCCUAACAUGAUCUGGCGCUACCAGAUUGCUCGUGAGAUUCAAGACAUCAAGUCAUCACUUGGUAAAAUCAAACAAAAAAAUACAGAGUUUGAGUUUCGGUCUGAAAGUGGAUCAGGAAGAUCUCGAGGGUUUAAAGCUCCUAGAAUUGGUGACCCUCGACUGGAUCCUUAUUUCAUUGAAGAGACUCAAGUUGUAGGGUUUGAGGAUCCAAGAGAUGAAUUGGUGAGUUGGUUGGUAGAGGAAACCGAUGAUCUCUUGUUGAUUUCUGUUGUAGGCAUGGGAGGACUCGGGAAAACCACUCUCGCUAAGCAUGUUUUUGACAACCAGUUAGUGAAAGAUCAAUUUCAUUACCGCUCUUUCAUUACGGUUUCUCAAUCCUACAACAUGAGGGAGUUGUUGAGAUAUAUGAUAAAGAAAUUUUGCAAGGACAACAAUGAGCCUAUUCCAAAGGGUCUGCAAAAGAUGGACGAUGUAAAUUUUAUUACUCAAGUGAAACAAUACCUUGAGUCAAAAAAGUACUUGGUUGUAUUUGAUGAUGUAUGGGAAGAAAAAAUUUCUGAUGAGAUUAAAGAUGCCUUAGGUAGUAAUAUCAAAGGAAGUAGAAUCAUUGUGACCACUAGAAAAAUGCCUAUAGCAGACUAUUUUAAGAAGUCGUUUCUUGUUCGUGUUCACAAGCUACAACCUUUGUCUAUAGAGAAAGCAUCGGAACUUUUCUGCAACAAGGCAUUUAGAUCUAAGCCUGGAAAGCAGUGUCCAACAGAACUUAAGGAAUUGUCCGAUGAAAUUGUUCAAAAAUGUGAAGGGCUACCACUAGCAAUUGUGGCCAUUGGAGGUCUUUUGUCAACAAAAGAUGAAGACAUGUUUGAGUGGAGAAAGGUGAUUCAAAAUCUCAGAAUGGAGUUAGCGCGCAAUGUCCAUUUGGCCGUUCUAGACAAGAUUUUAUCUCUUAGUUAUGAUGAUUUGCCUUACCAUUUGAAAUCAUGCAUGCUAUAUUUUGGUAUAUAUCCUGAGGACUACAUCAUCAAUCGGAAGAGACUUACAAGGCAAUGGAUGGCUGAAGGGUUUGUUAAGAAUGAGGAGCAAAGACCAUUGGAGGAAGUUUCUGAAGAGUACCUGACAGAGUUAAUACAGAGAAGUUUGGUUAAUGUCUCCGCAGUUGGUUUUGAUGGAAAAGUCAGAAGUUGCAAAAUUCAUGAUGUGUUGCGUGAAGUGAUCAUUAGUAAGAUGAAAGAUUUAAGUUUUUGUCAUUUAAUGAAUAAAGACGAUGAACAAGUGACUAUUGGAGUAACUCGACGCUUUUCUAUAGCAGCUUUCUCCAACAGUGACUUGGAGAACUCAGGAACGCGUGCUAUCAUUGUGUUUGACAAAGGUGACUUGCCUGAACAUUUCAUGGAUGGAUUAUCUUCCAAGUUCAAGCUUUUGAAAGUACUUGAUUUUCAGAAUUCUUUGUUGAAUUCCCUUCCUGAUAACAUGGGGAAUCUUUUCCACCUCAGGUACUUGAACCUAAGUCAUACAAAAGUUACAAUUCUUCCGAGAUCCAUCGGUAAUCUAGUCAACUUAGAAACCUUGGAUCUAAGGCAAACUAAAGUUCAUGAGUUACCAAAAGAGAUAAACAACCUCACCAAGCUAAGGCUUCUUCCGGUUUAUUAUAGAAGAUAUGAAGGUCAUUAUGAUAUGUUGAACUUUACAACUGGUGUGCAACUGCAAGAGGGUAUUGGAUGCUUGAAGUCAUUACAGAAGCUUUACUUUUUGGAAGCAGAUCAUGGUGGAGUAGACCUUUUCCGAGAGCUCAAAAUGUUGACACAGUUAAGAAAGUUAGGCAUAAGACGCGUGCAACAACAAUAUGGAAAUGCAUUAUGUGCUGUAAUACAAGAGAUGAAAAAUCUGGAAUCUCUUAACAUUACUAUUAUAGCUGAGAAUGAAACCCUUGACUUGGAUUUUUUAUCAACUCCUCCACCUAAUCUUAGAGUUCUCAACUUGAAAAGUAGAUUAGCAAAGUUGCCUGAUUGGAUUCCAAAUCUCAAGUAUCUUGUGAAGCUAAGACUCGGCUUAUCUAACUUCAAAUAUGAUCCACUAGACUCUUUGAAGAAGUUGCCAAAUUUGUUGAGGCUGAAUUUGUGGGAUAAUGCCUUUUCUGGUGAAAGUUUACAUUUUCAAGUUGGAGGGUUUCCUAAGCUGAAGGAGUUGGAUCUCACAAGGUUAAAUAGACUAAGUUCUAUAACCAUAGAUGAAGAAGCUUUACUUGGUCUUGAACACUUCAGAUUUAAAAACAACCCUCAAUUGAAGGUGUUACCACAAGACUUCAAAAACUUGAAAAACCUUCAAUUCCUUGGAUUUGCAGAGAUGCCAGCUGAAUUAGUUGAUAGCAUAGAGGAAGGUGGACCUUGCCAUGGAAUUAUCAAUCAUAUUCCCGUUGUUCAAAUUCGUCAAAAUGAAGGAUCAAGAUUUCAUGACUAUAAAUUGUACCGCAUUCGAACUCAACUCAAUGUCUGAAAUAUAAAGAAGGUACUCUUUUCUCUAACAAUGUUAUGCUUUUCUUAUGAAUGUUUGAAAUUACAUUGCUACUAUAACCAAUUUACAUUUGUUUCAAUUUUGUUUUCCAAUAAUAUGUGCUUCAAUCUUCCCUUUACAUGAUAGUUUGCAUCUUUCUUGCUUUCAAGUAAAACAAUGCUGCAAUCCAUGCAAAACCAUGCUAAGAAAAGUAAUGUUAUCGUUAUGAUAUGCAUUUUGAUAAAAAUGUUGUUAUGAUAUGUAACAUCCCUCUGCAUAUAAUGUGAAUGAAAGUUACUAUAUAUUUGUAUUUCUGAUUUUGUUAUGUAUAGUAUUUUUGUAUUUCCGAAAGUUGCUAUAUUAUUGUGCACAAUGUUUGUAUUAUGUAUUGAUGUCUGAUAAUUGCUAACUUCAAUAAGCUCUUUCAUAGAUCAUAUAACAAGAUUAUUUAUUCAGCAUUAGAAAAAUUAAGGUCUAAGAUUAUAUUAUUUGUAUCAUGCUUAAUUUUGACACUUUCCUUUGUCCAUGUGAACAGAUAAAAUUCUCCAUGAGAUGCACUUUGUCAAAUGGUUCUGGUUUUCGUUUUUCUGUUUUAUGUCAUUUGUGAUGUCGUUUGCUCUGUACUCUUUUUUCCUUCAUCAGGUUUUAUUCUCCUGGUAAGGUUUUUAACGAGGCAGAUGUUGUUUAUGUUCUUGGUUGUGUAUUUUGGGUUUUGGCCUAGUCCCCCCAAUAUUUGUAAUUUCUCAUUUUUUUUACUUUGAAUAAAGUCAUGGAGGAUUCUGAAAUUGAGCUAAAGUCAUAGAAACUUAACAUCUUGUGGUGUCUGUUCCAUUCUAAUCUACAAACCUGCAUAAGUUGAGAUAAUUGGAAGCAUUAAUCAUAAGUUUCAUGUGCCUCAAUCUCAUUUUCCAUCCCUCUAAUGCACAUUAGCAAAAGAAAAUUAUCAUAAAAUAAGUGAUUUUAUUAUUCAAUGUAAAAUUAAUUAACUACGUGGUUAGGCUAAAGGAUUAGAUAGUUGAGAGUUAUAACUACGUGGCACAAAUUUCAGAUUAAAAAACAUAUAGAACUUGAAAUUACAAUUAUACCAAUAUUUUUGUCCUUUUAAUAUUGAGGACAACAACUAUUCUUGUUGCUAAGUUGAAAAUUUAUUAUCAAUGUCCAAUGAGGAAUAGACACCUCAAUCACACGCUUCUCUUGUCUUCUAUCAUUUUCUUCUUUCUUUAAGCUGCUCAAUUUCUUGGUAGUUUGUUAAAGGAAAAAAUUCUCAAGUUGGUCCUUGAAAUAUCAAAAUAAUAUUUUACAUUAUUAAUAUAUAUAUCAAAUCAAAAUAAUCUUUGGAAUUUUUAAGUGUUUUUCAAGUUAUUCCUUUUAAAUGCAUCUCGAACAUCAAUAACUUAAUGUUAUUUACAAAUGUCAUCUGAAGCACGGACACCGGACACAAUACUAAUAUGUCGAUACUGAUAGUAAUUUUAAAAAAAAAAAUGACAUAUAAUUCAAUGUAAUCAGAUAUGUUAGUAUCGAACACCGACACAUGUCUGACACCAACAUACCAGAACACACCUAGUUAGAGGAGUGUAUGUGACUGUGCUUCAUAGCAACUACCUAUCACACCCACUUGUUCUUAAGGCAUUAUAUAUAAAACAAAUUAAUUAGAGCCGACAAAGUUGAAAACUUAAAAAAUUAAUUUCUGCUAGACUCAACUAUUCAUCAGUUAAAAGUCUUCCCACAGAUCAAAGCAAGCCAAAAACAAGGAACUUGAACUGAUUUGCCAAAAAUUGCUUGCAAGAGCUAACCUGAUUGAUGAAAAAUAUUGAACUGAAAUGGCAGAAGAUGCAGUGUCUUCUGUUUUGCAAGAACUCUACAAAUUUGCAUUAGAAGAAGGAACUUUACUGACAGGAGUUGAGAAAGACUUCAUUGACAUCAAAGAUGAUCUUGAGAGCAUCCAAGCCUUUCUCAAGGAUGCAGAUAGAAUGGCAGCAUAUGAAGAAGAAGAAGAAGGAGGAGGAUACGACGAAGGAGCCAAAACUUGGGUGAAGCAACUGAGAGAAGCAUCUUUUCGCAUAGAAGAUGUGAUUGAGGAAUAUAACAUGUAUGUGGCACUGACACCAAAGACAAACCAUUCUGGAUUCAUUGCCACAAUCCAGAUGAUUCCUAACAUGAUCAAAAGCAUGAAUUGGCGCUACCAGAUUGCUUCUGAGAUUCAAGAUAUCAGGUCAUCACUUGGUAAAAUCAAAGAAAGAAGCACAAGGUUUAUGUUUCACAAGUCUGAAAGUAGAUCAGGAAGCUCCCGAGGGACUAAAGCUCCUAGAAUUGGUGACCCUCGAAUGGCUCCUUAUUUCAUCGAAGAGACUCAAGUUGUUGGGUUUGAGAACGCAAGAGAUGAAUUGGUUAGUUUCUUGGUGGGGGGAAACAAUGAGCCCAUGUUGGUUUCUGUGGUUGGCAUGGGAGGACUUGGAAAAACCACUCUCGCUAAGCAUGUUUUUGAUGAUCCGUCGGUGAAAAGGCACUUUGAUUGCCGCUCUUUCAUAACAGUUUCUCAAUCGUACACUAUCAGGGAGUUGUUGACAGAUAUGAUAAAGAAGUUUUGCAAGGACAGCAAUGAGCCUAUUCCAAAGGGUCUGCAGAAGAUGGAUGACCAAACAUUGGUUGCUCGUGUGAGACAAUACCUUGAGUCAAAAAGGUACUUAGUUUUAUUUGAUGAUGUUUGGAAAGAAAAAUUUUCUGAUGAGAUUGAACAUGCCUUAAUUAGUAAUAACAAAGGAAGUAGAAUCAUUGUGACCACUAGAAUGAUGC